rnacentral:rRNA from 1 species
GACGAACGCUGGCGGCGUGCUUAACACAUGCCAGUCGAACGGAAAGGCCCUGCUUUUGUGGGGUGCUCGAGUGGCGAACGGGUGAGUAACACGUGAGUAACCUGCCCUUGACUUUGGGAUAACUUCAGGAAACUGGGGCUAAUACCGGAUAGGAGCUCCUGCUGCAUGGUGGGGGUUGGAAAGUUUCGGCGGUUGGGGAUGGACUCGCGGCUUAUCAGCUUGUUGGUGGGGUAGUGGCUUACCAAGGCUGUGACGGGUAGCCGGCCUGAGAGGGUGACCGGCCACAUUGGGACUGAGAGACGGCCGAGACUGCUACGGGAGGCAGCAGUGGGGAAUAUUGCACAAUGGGCGGAAGCCUGAUGCAGCAACGCCGCGUGCGGGAUGACGGCCUUCGGGUUGUAAACCGCUUUCGCCUGUGACGAAGCGUGAGUGACGGUAACGGGUAAAGAAGCACCGGCUAACUACGUG